AAUAUUGGACAAUGUGUGCAAUCCUGAUCUAGCAAUGCCGCGCGUGUGAAGUAGGUCUUCUGAUUGUAAAGCACUUUAAGUUGGGAGGAAGGGCUUUAGGCUAAUACGCUGACGUAUUGACUUUACCAACAGAAUAAGCAUCGGCUAACUAUGUGCCAGCAGCCGCGGUAAUACAGAUGGUGCAAUCGUUAAGCGGAAUUACUUGCCUAAAGCGCGGGUAGGUGAUUCAGUAAGAGGGGUGUGAAAUCCCCGGGCUUAACCUGGGAACUGCUUUCAUAACUGCUGAGCUAAAGUACGGUAGGGGGUAGUGGAAUUUCCUGUGUAGCGGUGAAAUGCGUAGAUAUAGGAAGGAACCCCAGUGGCGAAGGCGACUACCUGGACUGAUACUGACACUGAGGUGCGAAAGCGUGGGGAGCAAAC
rnacentral:rRNA from 1 species